UACGAAGGUCCCAAGCGUUAUCCGGAUUUAUUGGGUUUAAAGGGUGCGUAGGCGGUCUAUUAAGUCAUUGGUGAAAGCCCCAAGCUCAACUUGGGAACUGCCAUUGAUACUGAUGGACUUGAGUACAUUUGAGGUGGGCGGAAUGUGUCAUGUAGCGGUGAAAUGCUUAGAUAUGACACAGAACACCGAUUGCGAAGGCAGCUCACUAAACUGUAACUGACGCUGAGGCACGAAAGCGUGGGGAGCAAACAGG
rnacentral:rRNA from 1 species